AUGUACUAGAGCUCAGUGGUAGAGCACUUGUCUAGCACGUGUGAGGCACUGGGUUCGAUUCUCAGCACUGCAUA
rnacentral:tRNA from 1 species